rnacentral:misc_RNA from 1 species
UCUUCCUGCAGCCGACGGUGACACAUUGGCGCAAAAUAUUAUUGUACAUCAGCGUUUCUCUUUUGAAAACAUGGAGUAGCGACCGUUGAAGUUUCCCGGCGACGCCCGAGGGAAGAACGUCUGGUGAAAAAGGCACACUCUAGAACCGCGGUGCCGGUUGCGUUGAAAUGAACUGACUCAUAUUUGUAUAUAAUAUAACCAUCGCAGUGACGAGAGUUCGAGAAAAAAGUAUUUUACAAAGUUCAAACAAUGUCGACUACUAUCAAAGAAUUUUUAAUAGAAAGAUCCAUACCAGAUGCCGACUAUAUAGAUCAUGAAAUGGAAGUUAAAAAGGUGAGAACUAUUAAUCGUGGUGUUACAAGAAAAGUACGAGUACAAAAAACAUUUUACAAGUCAGAUUUGAUUGAUGUGGCUAAAGAAUUAUUUUUUCCUGAUGGAAGAUCAUCUAAAGGAAUGAUUGGUGAAUUUUCAAUAAAUUUAUUUGACUUCCAGAAAAAUUAUUUACCUGAUGACAUGUCAGUAGGUGAAUUAUAUGAUAAAACAGGUUUGAAUUCAUUAAGAUUUUAUUUGGCAACAAAGCAGACAAAUUCAACUAUUUGGUUCCCUGUUGGUAAAAAAAAAAAAAAAAAAACAUACUGAUACUUCUAGUAUAGUUCAAUUUUAAUUUUUAAUACUAAUUUCAACUCGUUAGAUUUUUUUCUAUAUUUUGUAGGAAAAACUUUUUCAUUUUUUUGUUUUAUUAGCACUUUUAAGACAUUAAAAUGCUAGUUAAUUUUGAGGAAUUAAGUAAAGUAAUUUGAAACCGUAAUACGUAAACUAUCCAAAACGUCCAAAAUCUAUUUCCUACAAAUCACAGAAAAGAGGCUGACGAAUUCAAAUAUUUUUUUUCAAAAUUGAAAUUUAAUCAUUAGAAGUAUGUUAAUUUUUCGCCAGCAUAUUAUUCAUUGUCGCGAGUGAAGAAAAACAUUUUUUGAGAGUGCUUUCGUUGACUUGUGCACACGCGUACGUGUGCUAUGGAACAUGGUCGUGGCCGUUCGCCUGCAGCCGAUUGAUAUAGCUGUUCUAAAAACAAUGUCCACCGAUGAUCGCAUAUGAAAAAUGUUCUUACCUAAUUAAUAUGGAGAUCGUUUAGCGUUGUUAAUUUUUUCAAAACAAACCAGAUUAUCCAAACGAAAAAGCUCCCUCAUUGAUAAGUUGAUGUCUAAGGUAAAAAAAAAUAAUGACGACAUUAAUGAGUCAAAACCGAAACUCCAAAUAAAAGGCAGCCUAGUCUUCAAAAAUAGAUCACUAGCGAGAUAUGUUGAAAUUGGAUGGCUUAAUUUUGAUAUGUCGCCGUAUAAACAGGUAUUAUUAUAAUAAAGGGAAAUUCAUGGUUAUGUUUUCAAGUAAUUUUUGUUUUUUGUGUUAUUUACACCAAAAAUAUCAAAAAAAACCUACGUAUAGUUUUAAUAUUAUCACGGUUAUACCGUCCUCGCUAUUCUCACCGUCGCUUGGAUUCGUUUUUUUUUUACGUAAAUAGUAAUAUUGAAUCAAUUUCGUCAGCAUUUACAGCUUAGUUCUGUGCACACGUCUGGUUUUAUUGCCACUGCGCCACCGCAAAUAUGACGUAAAUAAUAUUAUAUGAUAGAAUUGUGCAGUCAUAGCAACUGACUCAAUGACGAUGUAAACCCAAUACCUAAAACUGUACAGCAAAUCGGUACUCAGUGGUUACCAACUUUCCCCCUUUUUUUUUUGUUACUUAAAAAAACUGUCAAUAUAUACGUUUGACUGUGUGAGCCACCGCACAUUGCCUUUUUUUGUAAUUUUUUGUAUCACAUUUCAGUACAACAGACAUACACACGGUUAUUCACAGUAUUAAUAAUAAUUAUAUUUAGUACAUUAUACUAAUAAUAAUUUGUUUAAAUUAUAUUACACGUUUCUAACGCCUAAAAUUAAAUUGUCGUGUUUUCAACGUGACGCUUGUUUUUCUAUAUGAACAAAAAUAAUUCGAAGACUUAACUGAGACAAACAAGUCCACCACAACACAAAAUGUAUAGUGACAAAUAAUAUAAUAUUAUGAAGAUUUUAUGUUUAAAACGAAGAUAUUAAACGAAGGAGUUUUCACAUACGUUUAGGCAUUUGAAAUUAGAAACAUCAGUAUUUACUAGCAUUGUGCCAUUGUAUUAUUGUAAAAUACAACAUUGUCAAUAUGAUAUUUUAAAAUAUUAAGAAAUACCUACUUACUCUUUAUAAAACCCAACAAUUUAGAAUUGUUUUUAAGUGAAUCUGUAAAAUUCUGCUGUAUUCAGUGUAGGCCUGGGAUCUAAAGGGCCCAGAAGGUAAGUUAUUCAAAGUAGUUAUAUGAUAAUCACAUAUUAUGUGAUAUGGACACUAAAUGUCUCGGUCAGAAUGGUCAGUUUUGUAUUUUUUGGCCCGGCACUCAGUGUUAAAAUAAUUUUAAAAAAUUGGUACAUUUUUUUAAUUUUUGUUUUUUCAAAUACCAUUUUUUUUUAUUAUACUUCAUAGUAGAAUAAUGUCAUAAUAUUAUAUUAUUCGAUAGAUAUAAAAUAAUCACUGCUCAGGAAUUGAGUACAGGCUAUUCUUUUACUAAAAAAAUCAAGUCACUUUAAUAUUAUACGAGCGUUUUCAAUAAACGUCCAAUGAUUCAAAUUCUAUAAUUUUAGUCGUUAGACAUUGUCGAUGAGCAAAUAUAAAAAAUCCAAAAACAUAAAUUCAUAUAUUUAUACAUUCAUAUGUAUAUAUAUUUAAGAUUCUAUACACGGUCGACGGGUAUAGUCGACAUAUAUAACUCUGUCCUGGUCGCCGGUGUCGACUACACGUCCACAAAUAUAGUGUUCACUUUGACGGUUCUUAAUUUUGACUGGCGAUGAGAUAACGUUUUCAAAUAUAUUAUAGGCCAUCAGGUACUGUCUCAAGAAUCUAAUGGUAUAAUUGGUUUUUAAUUUUUGUUUGUUUUUAGUGCAUGUAUUUAUUUUUUACCCGAAAUGACAAUGUCUUCGAACGAUCGUAAACAAUAACAUACCAUUUUAUAAUAUACUCUAUUAUUGUUGUUACAUCUGGAUGUAUAAAGCGUGUUUUUUCAAUAUACAGAAUGAUUAAAAAAUAUAAAAUUAUUUUCAUCACAAAUCAUUGAAUUUAUUUUUGAAAUUAGAAUUAUUACGAGCAGAACCAUCAGUAUUUAUAUUUUAUUUACUUUUACACUUUAAUUAUUUGUAUAACAAUAAGAUUGUUCUUAAUAAGUAAACCCGUGUAUAAAUUAUUUAUUUUUUAGUUUUUUAUUGCCAAAAUUGCAAUAUGUUUUAUGCGCCUUUCAAAAAUAUAAUAUAAAAAAAAAAGGUGGGUAA